GUCCUAACUUCCCAAAGGAAGAUGUGCUGAAGCCUCAGACAUUGUAGUCAGCCCAUGUGAUUAAUAUAAUUGCGUCUUCUUUGUGAAUAACUUCUAUAGAUGCGAGGCAGACUUUGAAGCAAGUCAGUUGACACCCACACAGAACCAAAUUAUAACAUCCUGAUUAAAUUGCUAUGCACUGUAAAUGCUCAAGUAUUGUCAAUACAAAGAAAGUUUGUUCUCAACAACUCUUAAAGUGUUGAAAUUCACUUGAAUUUUGCUGGAUUAAAAAGUUAACUUGCACAGUUAGGUUAUUUGCAUAUAAAAUGAGCAAAGACUAUCACGAUCAUUAAAAACAUAAAAUACAUGAAAGAAUAAUGUUAAAUGUAUUUUAGGAAUACCUGUCAAAUUCUGUUCACAUCCCACGUAUUUUACUUAACUUUUUUUAGUUAGUGAUCAAAUGGUGACUUUUGGUACACUGCCUUUUCUUGAAAAUAAAAUAAAAUAAUUCUCUGGUUUGUGUCAAACAGAUUGAAACGUAUUGUUCUUGAAUUGCAUCAUAUGAAACAUUUUCUCAGCAGGGUCUGAGAAGGCGUGCUUCUGAAAAUUUAUAUCCUUUUUGUGAUCAUAGAGCAGUGGUAGAUGCCAGAUCUCUGGAAGCAUUCAAGGUCAGGUUGAAUGUCUGAGCAAUCUGAUCUAGUUGAAAAUGUCUUUGCUCAUUGCAGAGGGGUGCAACUGGAUGGCCUUUGAAGGUCUCUUCCACUGCAAACUCCUCUGAUUCUCUAGUAAUAACUGGUCAUUUAAAUGCAAUGUUUGUACACUAUGUGAACGUAGGAGUAGAAAUUAUAGUACUGCAACAAAAAUUAAGAUAGGUACCUCUUUAGAUGUGGGACUUAUUUUUAAAGUUUGUUCCUGCUGUCUAUAGUGCUUUUGAUGAUUUUGAUUAAUUUUGUGUGCUGCACAAGCAUCUCUUUAGAUGCCUCAUACUGACCUUCAGAAUGUUCAGAUUGGAUGUUUGGGAUUUAGUACUUGUUUGGAUGCCUGUCUUCCUAAAUAACUUGCACACAAUUUUCUGCAGGAGCAUCAUAUUGUCAACGUUCACAAGGAAGAAUGCCACAUCAUCACUUAUUAGCCUGUUGGAAUCAUCAAAAUGCUCAUCUUUAGAAUUGCCUCAAAGGGCCUGUCUCUAAGCUGGAGUUACAUCAGUAACUAUAUUGCUGUUUGCUUCUCUCAUUCUCAGAACUGUGGUUUGCAGGACAGAAAUGUUAUGAUUAAACACCUCUGAUGAAG
rnacentral:lncRNA from 1 species